GAGUUUUUUUGGAGUGGUUUUUACUAGAAACACCUAAGUUGAAUUAUUCUUUCUUUCUCCCUAGUAAAAAACUCAAAAGAACAUGAAAAAGUCUUCUUGUGAUCAUCAAAAUCAUCAGCAGGGAGUUGUAGCUGAUCAUGUGCUGAAUCUGGAGCCUGAGACACUUAGAAACGACACUGAUUCUUUCAAGAAAUGCCCGAACUCAUCAAAAGUUGCCAGGGUUGGUGAGGUCCUGUGUCUCCUUCCACUCUCUGCUGUGCCUGCCAGCGUAGAUCAGCAAGGGUCAGCUGCAGUAGGAGGCCUGGUAAUGCAGAAAUCUGCAAGUUGGGAGCAACACUGAUUUUCCUGGCAGUGGCUUGCUGGCAUAUGUACAGGAGCUUUUGUUAGCUGUCAGCCUGAAUGGAAUGUCAAUCAUUCCCUUGGAGCCUGAUCUUCAGAUCACUGCACUUCUGGGCUUUUGCCUUCGUCUUCAUAGAGCAGUAACUCAGGUCUGUGGAAGCUGGAAGCCUUAUUUUUUAUUAAGAAGCCCUUGUGAUAUUUAGUCCCCAUGUGGUUUUCUUUUUCAAACUCCACAGAAAAGUUUGAACCCUUUGCAACUGAUAUGCUACCAGUUUUUUUUUAUGGGACAAUUUGGAUCACUUACCAUGCUCUGGGUCAUCUGUCACUUUUGCUGGCAGGAGCCAGAUUUCCAGAGUGGAAGUGGGAUGAGUUGCUAAGGAAUGUGUUGUGCUCUA
rnacentral:lncRNA from 1 species